GAUGAACGCUAGCUACAGGCUUAACACAUGCAAGUCGAGGGGCAGCGGGAAGUCAGCUUGCUGACUUUGCCGGCGACCGGCGCACGGGUGAGUAACACGUAUCCAACCUUCCCGUUACUCUGGGAUAGCCUUUCGAAAGAAAGAUUAAUACCGGAUAGUAUCGAGACAGUGCAUGAUAACCCGAUUAAAGAUUCAUAGGUAACGGAUGGGGAUGCGUUACAUUAGGCAGUUGGCGGGGUAAAGGCCCACCAAACCGACGAGGGAUAGGGGUUCGGAGAGGAAGGUCCCCCACAUUGGAACUGAGACACGGUCCAAACUCCUACGGGAGGCAGCAGGGAGGAAUAUUGGUCAAUGGGCGAGGGCCUGAACCAGCCAAGUAGCGUGAAGGAUGACUGCCCUACGGGUUGUAAACUUCUUUUAUAAGGGAAUAAAGUUCUCUACGUGUAGAGUUUUGUAUGUACCUUAUGAAUAAGCAUCGGCUAACUCCGUGCCAGCAGCCGCGGUAAUAC
rnacentral:rRNA from 1 species